GCUUUGGCGGUCUUACUAGGGCCUUUGUCUCUGACAUGACACAAGACCACCAUCUUGGGAUCUGGAGCUGGCCUCCCAGGUUCAGGGGACUCUGUCCGUGCCGGCACGGUUCUGCACCGCGCAGCGAGGACGCGGGGUGUCCGGACUCCGCCAUGAUGUAAGCUUGAAUUUCAUGGGAAAUCCUGUGACACACUACUUCUAUAAUGCCCAAAGGAGGAACUUUAGUCCCUGGUAGCUGGAAACGGCUCAUCUUGUCCAAGAGGCUCUAACGCCACUUCUGUCCCCAGUGACAUGCUGCUCGCUUGAGAACCAUAGUAAGGACACUGGGCGUCCUGGAACCCAGAAAUGGUGUUGGUGUCAUUUGAGGAUGUAGCUGUGCGCUUCACCUGGGACGAGUGGCAGGACCUGGACGCUGCUCAGAGGACCCUCUACAGGGACGUCAUGCUGGAGAACUACAGCAGCUUGGUGUUCCUGGGUGAGUCUGAGUGCUG